rnacentral:rRNA from 1 species
GAUGAACGCUAGCGGCAGGCCUAACACAUGCAAGUCGAGGGAGAAGCCCUUUCGGGGGCAGAAACCGGCGCACGGGUGCGUAACGCGUAUGCAACCUACCUUUCACAGGGGGAUAGCCCGAAGAAAUUUGGAUUAAUACCCCAUAAUAUUAUUGGAUGGCAUCAUUUGAUAAUUAAAACUGCGGUGGUGAAAGAUGGGCAUGCGUCCUAUUAGCUAGUUGGAGUGGUAACGGCACCCCAAGGCUACGAUAGGUAGGGGUCCUGAGAGGGAGAUCCCCCACACUGGUACUGAGACAGGGACCAGACUCCUACGGGAGGCAGCAGUGAGGAAUAUUGAUCAAUGGUCGGAAGACUGAACCAGCCAUGCCGCGUGCAGGAAGAAUGCCUUAUGGGUUGUAAACUGCUUUUAUAUGGGAAGAAUAAGGUGUACGUGUACAUUGAUGUCGGUACCAUAUGAAUAAGCAUCGGCUAACUCCGUG